rnacentral:rRNA from 1 species
UACGGGGGGUGCGAGCGUUGUCCGGAAUCACUGGGCGUAAAGGGCGCGUAGGUGGCGUGAUAAGGGUGUGGUGAAAGCCCGGGGCUCAACCCCGGGUCGGCCAUGCCGACUGUCAGGCUAGAGUGCUGUAGGGGCAGGCGGAAUUCCGGGUGUAGCGGUGGAAUGCGUAGAGAUCCGGAAGAACACCGGUGGCGAAGGCGGUUAGCUGGGCAGUUGCUGACACUGAGGCGCGACAGCGUGGGGAGCAAGCAGG